AACACUUUGCCUGCAAAACAGUAAGAACUGCUAAAACAAAACCCUGGUUAGGUCAGUGACCUGUGAUUGCUUGCUUUCUGGAGAUUGUCCAGACCUGUGAAAACAGUAUUUCAGCUCCUCUCUCCCCAGAACUGUACCUUCCAGUGCUCCCUCUCUGGCACCUUUCUAAGCCUCCGACAGUCACUCAUGUUGUGCAGCAUUAAUGACUUCGGAGUGAUGUGAUGGUAUAAUGGGCCUUUUCACACCUGUCAGGUAUGAGCUGCGUUAAGCAGUGUACGUGAGGUAUUUUUAGCUUGUGAAUAAAGUGAUAGAGGGAGAGGUACCCCAGGGGUCUUAUUUAAUUGCUGUGAAAAUGACUUUAAUAGAGAAAUAGACUUAGAGAGAGGACAGCACGGUGGGUGAGAUAUGCUCACUUCUGCCAUAUGGGAAUGACUGAUGCCCAGAUGAAGUACGUGCACAUAUAAACAAGCAGCAUGGUGAGCAGGCAGGAGGAAUCAGAGGGCUGCAGCCUCAUGGGCCACAGUGGUGUAGCGGGGCAUGCGAGCCCUGUGGGAAGGGCAGGUUGGGAAGGAAGGAGGAGUUGCCCUGUUGGAAAGCAGCAGGGGUGUGUGGUGCUCUGUGCUGCAGUGAGUGAUGUGCCAGCAGAGAGCUGUGGGAUCAGGAUUGCAGAUGGACAACAUGGGCAGCAUUGGGGUGGUACCUGACUAGGAAGAGGAAAUAGAAGAAUGGAAGAAGCUUCAUGCCUGUAGACUCUGGUUCUUGCAGGGAGCUUUAACCACCUCGGUAUCUGCUGGAAGGCAACUCAGGCAAACAACUUGUUUUCCUGAGUGGUGUACUGCCUACAUGUUUUACUAGAUUACAAAAUGCAGUUUAUUACUGAGUUUGGCUGUUAUAUCACGGAUCACAGAAUCAUUAAGGUUGGAACAGACCACUCAGAUCACCAUGUCCAACCGUCAACCCUCUGCUAUCGUACCACUGGAAACGUCUCUCAGUGCCAUAUCUCCAUGGAUCCUGACCACCUCCAGGAAUGAUGGCUUCACCAACUCUGUGGUCAGCUGUGCCACUGCAUAACCACUUUUCUGGAGAAUAAAUGUUUCCUAACGUCCAACCUGACCGUCCCAUGGUGCAACUUAAAGCCGUCGCUUCUCUUCCCAUUCCUGUUAUAUGGGAGCAAAAGCCAAUCCCCACUUCCUCAAACUCCUUUCAGGAAGUAAUAGAGAACAAUAUGCUCUCAACUGAGUCUCCUCUUAUCCAGCAUGAAUAAUCCCAGUUCCCUCAAGGGGAAUGUUUUCUGCAAGGUCACAGACAAAACAGAGCUUCCUAUGGAAAUGUAUCCAUUGAACUCAUUAAUAAAAAAGUACCCAGGG